UUGUUACCACUUGUUAGUGGCAAUAUAUUCCAUAGGAGGGUCACUCCAGUUAGUUACCAAAAAUCAACAGCAAAAAAAGAACAAGAAAAAAAAAAGUAGCUAAGUGAUUCUAUUAGAUUCACAGCAGACUGAAUUUGAAGCAAGGAAUCCAUUGUUUCCUCUUUAAGCCUGGCUAUUUUUUAAAAAAUUUGGGGAAAAAAGAGUUUAUUUACAAGGAUUGGGAAGACCUGAAGUUAAAGACAGUUCCAUUAAUGGAAUGUUAGAACAGCUCAUCGAGAAACUCUGGCUGUUAAUUUCCAUUGACUUCACUGAGUGAUUUAACUUUUCUCUGUCUUAGAACAUACAGUUCCAAGGUGCCUAUAACAGGAGGAAAGCCUUGGGGUUAAAGUCUUUCCAAAUACCGUUUUCUAAGUGAGUAGGAUAUUCACCUACAGGAUGUGAUGUCCAUGUUUAUAUCCAUUCUCUGCAUGAUUCAGGAAACCCAGUUUGCAAGAGGAAAGGAUUUUCGAGAAAGCUCCAAAACA